GGCUCAAUGGUCUAGAGGUAUGAUUCUCGCUUUGGGUGCGAGAGGUCCCGUGUUCGAUCCACGGUUGAGCCC